rnacentral:rRNA from 1 species
UACGUAGGGUGCGAGCGUUGUCCGGAAUUACUGGGCGUAAAGAGCUCGUAGGUGGUUUGUCGCGUUGUUCGUGAAAACCCACAGCUCAACCGUGGGCUUGCGGUCGAUACGGGCUGGCUGGAGUUCGGUAGGGGAGACUGGAAUUCCUGGUGUAGCGGUGAAAUGCGCAGAUAUCAGGAGGAACACCGAUGGCGAAGGCAGUGCUCUGGGCCAACACUGACGCUGAGGAGCGAAAGCGUGGGUAGCAAACAGG